AAAUUGAAGAGUUUGAUCAUGGCUCAGAUUGAACGCUGGCGGCAGGCCUAACACAUGCAAGUCGAGCGGUAGCACAGAGAGCUUGCUCUCGGGUGACGAGCGGCGGACGGGUGAGUAAUGUCUGGGAAACUGCCUGAUGGAGGGGGAUAACUACUGGAAACGGUAGCUAAUACCGCAUAAUGUCGCAAGACCAAAGUGGGGGACCUUCGGGCCUCAUGCCAUCAGAUGUGCCCAGAUGGGAUUAGCUAGUAGGUGGGGUAAUGGCUCACCUAGGCGACGAUCCCUAGCUGGUCUGAGAGGAUGACCAGCCACACUGGAACUGAGACACGGUCCAGACUCCUACGGGAGGCAGCAGUGGGGAAUAUUGCACAAUGGGCGCAAGCCUGAUGCAGCCAUGCCGCGUGUGUGAAGAAGGCCUUCGGGUUGUAAAGCACUUUCAGCGGGGAGGAAGGCGAUAAGGUUAAUAACCUUAGCGAUUGACGUUACCCGCAGAAGAAGCACCGGCUAACUCCGUGCCAGCAGCCGCGGUAAUACGGAGGGUGCAAGCGUUAAUCGGAAUUACUGGGCGUAAAGCGCACGCAGGCGGUCUGUCAAGUCGGAUGUGAAAUCCCCGGGCUCAACCUGGGAACUGCAUUCGAAACUGGCAGGCUAGAGUCUUGUAGAGGGGGGUAGAAUUCCAGGUGUAGCGGUGAAAUGCGUAGAGAUCUGGAGGAAUACCGGUGGCGAAGGCGGCCCCCUGGACAAAGACUGACGCUCAGGUGCGAAAGCGUGGGGAGCAAACAGGAUUAGAUACCCUGGUAGUCCACGCCGUAAACGAUGUCGAUUUGGAGGUUGUGCCCUUGAGGCGUGGCUUCCGGAGCUAACGCGUUAAAUCGACCGCCUGGGGAGUACGGCCGCAAGGUUAAAACUCAAAUGAAUUGACGGGGGCCCGCACAAGCGGUGGAGCAUGUGGUUUAAUUCGAUGCAACGCGAAGAACCUUACCUGGUCUUGACAUCCACAGAACUUUCCAGAGAUGGAUUGGUGCCUUCGGGAACUGUGAGACAGGUGCUGCAUGGCUGUCGUCAGCUCGUGUUGUGAAAUGUUGGGUUAAGUCCCGCAACGAGCGCAACCCUUAUCCUUUGUUGCCAGCGGUCCGGCCGGGAACUCAAAGGAGACUGCCAGUGAUAAACUGGAGGAAGGUGGGGAUGACGUCAAGUCAUCAUGGCCCUUACGACCAGGGCUACACACGUGCUACAAUGGCAUAUACAAAGAGAAGCGACCUCGCGAGAGCAAGCGGACCUCAUAAAGUAUGUCGUAGUCCGGAUUGGAGUCUGCAACUCGACUCCAUGAAGUCGGAAUCGCUAGUAAUCGUAGAUCAGAAUGCUACGGUGAAUACGUUCCCGGGCCUUGUACACACCGCCCGUCACACCAUGGGAGUGGGUUGCAAAAGAAGUAGGUAGCUUAACCUUCGGGAGGGCGCUUACCACUUUGUGAUUCAUGACUGGGGUGAAGUCGUAACAAGGUAACCGUAGGGGAACCUGCGGUUGGAUCACCUCCUUACCUUAAAGAA
rnacentral:rRNA from 1 species